rnacentral:lncRNA from 1 species
GGUACUGGGUUGCUUUAAACAGCUUAGCAUCCAGAAUAUGUUCAGACGCUUUUAAUGCACUUAGACUGUGCUCCAAGUUAGCACUGGUCCAAAACACCAGCGAAAAGAAUCCGAAAGUGAAAGAGUAUGUCUGGGAUCCCCGCUCUGGGGAACAGAGACAGGAGGAUCUCCCCAAAUGUGAGGCCAAAUGUGACUCUGUCUCAGAACAAAGAAACUUUUCUCCUGGAAAAGCACCCAGCUGCUUAGAGAAGAUAUUAAGAUCUGAUAUCAGACGUCUACUAAGUAUUCGUUUCAGGCAAUGUGUCAUCCACAUACUUUUAUAAAUAUGGGUACCGAAGUGCACAUGCAUCCAUGCUAUUGAUUAGAAAUGGUUAAGACUGACUUUUGUAGUUCUUCGUGAAUCGCCCCUUGUGGGUCUUACUGACCUAUUAUUCCACAGAGGAGUUAUUUGAAAUUCCAGUAAGUUUGGUGAGCUAACACUUAGGAUGUGCUAUUUCCGAGCACGCUGGGUUAUGAGUGAGCCUCCGUGGUGUUUGGCAUCUUGUCAUCAGUGUCCAAACGUCUUUGCAGAACCAGAGACGCCCCGGAGCCCCCAGGAGAGGAGGCGGCAGAGAGGACCAGGAAGCCUAGCCUUUCUGAGAGGAGAGGCAGCCUCUCGGCCUGGGACAGCAGCACAAUCUACAGCUCAGUGGCCUCCUGGGUCACUCACCUGCGGGCGUCCUUCAGAAGGGCCAACAGAGCGCUGUGGCUCUCUGGGCUCUUCCUCGUACUGUUCGCCGGGUUGAUGAGCGUCCUCGCGGGUCAGCUCUUCCAGUCCGCCGUGGAGGCCGCGCCCACGCAGGAAGGGGACUCCUGGAUGUCUCUGGAACACAUCUUCUGGCCAUUGACCAGACUUGGGCACGAUGGACCGCCACCAGUGUGACUGCCACACAGCUCAGUGUCCCCUUGGAUUUUAACAUCUCCCUCUGAGAUUUGAAAUUAGUAACUUUUUAGUAACUACAGUGCAGGGCUAGGGUCCUUGGCAGCUGAGAUAUUUUAAUUCCCCAACAAAAGCACAGGGAAGGAACUUCGGGAAGGAGCCCCCCCCCAGGGUAUUUUAAUGAGCUUUCUGAGUGAGAGACAUAAGACUUUAUUGAAAUGUAUCAAAUAAAGGCCACUCGGAUCUUUGUGCAGU